rnacentral:rRNA from 1 species
CGGCCGCGGUAUCCUGACCGUGCAAAGGUAGCAUAAUCAUUUGUUCCUUAAUUAGGGACUCGUAUGAAUGGCCCCACGAGGGUUUGACUGUCUCUUACUUUCAAUCAGUGAAAUUGACCUUCCCGUGAAGAGGCGGGAAUACAAAAAUAAGACGAGAAGACCCUAUGGAGCUUAAAUUAAAGAGUUCUGGACAACAAAUUUUGGUUGGGGUGACCUCGGAGUAUAACAAAACCUCCGAACCAAGACUUACCUGUCAAGGUCAAUCAUAUUGAUCAACGAAACAAGUUACCCUAGGGAUAACAGCGCAAUCCUAUUUAAGAGUUCAUAUCGACAAUAGGGUUUACGACCUCGAUGUUGGAUCAGGACUCCCAAAUGGUGCAGCAGCU